UGACAUAUUGAUAUAAGCAUUUUUUGAGUCACUAGCAUGGUUAAAGUUGGAAAUACUUCAAGUUGUGAACAAAAGUUUACAUACACAGGUCAGGAACACACAUGUCAUGGCAGACUUGAGUUUACAAUAAACCCAAUAACUCCUAAUUUUCUGUGGUGGAAUAAUUCAAGCUCAUGUUUCUGUCACAUAGAACAAUCGUGCUUUGUGCAUAUUUCUAGAGAACAAUCAUGAAUUUAUCAAACGGCCACUGUGAAUUACUGUUUUUGUGACAGAGAUGCAUGUGUUCUAAUCAUUCAGUCAUUGAAAAUUUGAUUAUAAGAGUCACUAAAAGCUCAAGAUUGCUAUGAUAUACAUGACUUUUAUAAGUAUGUGUAAACUCCUGUUCCCAACUGUAAGUGGCUGGUUGCUUUUAAUAAGUGCCACGUUGGUUUAUUUUUUCAGAAAUGAUCCAAUUAGAGGAUUCGUCUGCAGAAACAGAGACCAACCUGGGAGGAAGAUGUGCAACGACUUUCGUGUUCGCUUUGUCUGCUAUCCUCCUUACUGUGGUGGAGGAGUAUGUUGGACCAAGUGGUAUGAUCGAGACAAUCCCAGUGGAUCAGGGGACUGGGAGCAGCUAUACAGACAGAGACAGAUGAUGAAGAGCAAAGACGAAAUCUGCGAGUUCCCUCUGUACAUUGAGGCUGUUACCAAUGACAAAGAGCAGACUCCAGCAUUGAAAACAGGGCAGAAAUUCUUUGCCUACAGUCCAACUGAGGGAUUUAUUUGCCGCAACAAGGACCAGAGGAAUGGCAAGUGCCGUGACUACAAAGUCCGGUAUGGAUGCCCAUGCAAACACUGAGGCCUGACUCUCCAACACUGAAAAUGAUCAGGAGGGAAGAAAUCCAUGAUGAUGACUUUUUAAAUUUUUUCUCUGCUGUUUCUUUUCUUUAAUAAUUAAUUUUUACUGUGGUUAAUGGAAGAAAUAUAUAGCAGUAGGCCUUUUUCACAGUUAUUGUCACUUGUCGUAGUUAGAAAAGCAAAGGUACGAUUUUAUAAAUGGUUUUGUUCACUUCAAAUGUCCCUGUAAGCCAUAACAACACGACAGUUUGACCACUAUUCAUAAUACCAGAACUCUAAAGUAGCUUAAUUCAACCAUUUUUAAUUUUAUUACUUACACCUUUGCCUUUAUUUCAGAACGUACUCAGUGAAAAUUUGGCACAUUAUGUGAUUUUAUCUGUCUUUUCUUUAUAGUGAUUUUGAAAUCAUUAUCUUGUUUGGCUAA